UUUACAUAGACAAACGUGGUCAACCAAGGACCAAGAACUGGGAAAUUCCAAAGUAUCCUGGAAGUUUAGUUUAGCUUUACUACGCUCUUUACGAUUAUGAAAAAGCUUUUAGUUUGUUUUACCCAUGUCUGUAAAUAGCCGUUCCUGAAUGAUGCUUGUAAAGAUACCAUCAGGUCUUUAGCCAGGUUCUGGGUCAGGUGUCUGAAGAGGAAAGUGAAGAGAAAAGGAUGGAACCCUUCCGCAGGCCCACAUGCCGACGCUGCUUUACAAAUUAAACGCCGGAAACAGUGAGAUGAAAACAACCAGAGCCAGGAUUCCCCCCGGGAGUGGGAAGCGGAUAUGGAGAUAGAAUCAGGAAUGAGGCUCAGACUUCAGUUGGGAAAGCUUUCACGAGCCCCUGGUAUAAUAAACUAAAUAAUUGUACAUUAGGUCAUGAACAGAUACAUUUCAUCACCGUGGAAUUAUAAGGUUUCCUGCAAGCAACCAUUGAAUGAAGGUUAAAAAUAGUUGAUGUUAAUUGAAUUAAUAUCACUUUUGCACCCACAAAUAAUGUUCUUAAAAUAUGCUCUCUUUCUCUCUCUCUGUUAAUAAGGAUUUUAUGACAGCAUCGAUGACCCAGACGCAGAUGUUUCAUUUUUUUCAGUAAUUGUGUAUGUUAAUAAGUAGCACAU